CAGCCUUCCAGCUGACAAUGGCGUCUGGGCUCUCUGCAGUGCUACCUGCUGAGGUGCUUCCUACUACAUGCCACUUCUUUAUUUACCUUUACUCCUGGCUCUUUCCCCUCAGACAGAGCUUGGCAAGCAGCCCUAUGACCGCUUUCUGCACUGAACAUGUGCCAGAGGAAACCUGCUUUGAUAAGGAGUGGGACAUUUUGGUUACAGUUCAGCUAGCAGACCCUUGGCAACAUCAGCCAUGUUUAUGGACAGUGAUAUUUGCUUAAGAAAUAGAGUCAUUGCUGUACCUUGUGAAGUGAUGAUAAACAUCCUGAACUUGUACACAGAAAAAGGCCAAAGAUCAAAUAGAUUUCCUCGCCAGGAAAUUGUCCUGUAAAACACAACAAUCCUGCUGUUUGCAUGGUAACACAGGAGUUAUGGAAUACAGAAGAUGAUGACGUGGACUGGAUUAAGAGAUUUUGAAAGACGAGUGCAAGAUGUUCAAAGACAAGAAGAUUCUUUCCUUGACACUGUGCCCCUCUGGUUUAGUUCUUCUCGUGAUAACGGGGUGAAAGGUGUGUGAAAUGAAAAUUGCUACCAGCAUCGAAUCAUAGAAUCAUCUAGGUUGGAAGGGACCUUCAAGAUCAUCUAGUCCAACCAUCAACCUAACUCUGAUAAAAAACCAUCACUAAACCAUGUCUCUAAGCACUAUGUCAACCCGUCUCUUAAAUCCCUCCAGGGAUGGUGCCUCAACCCCUUCCCUGGGCAGCCCAUUCCAAGGCUUAAGAACCCUCUCAGGGUAAAAAUCGUUCCUAAUCUCCAAUCUGAACCUCCCCUGGUGCAACCUGGGGCCAUUUCCUCUUGUCCCAUUGCCUGUGAUUUGGGAGAAGAGACCAACCCUCACCUCUCUACACCCUCCUUUCAGGGAGUUGUAGGGACUGAGAAGGUCUCCCCUCAGCCUCCUUUUCUCCAGGCUGAACAGCCCCGACUCCCACAGCCUCUCCUCAUGAGACUUGUUCUCCAGACCCUUCACCAGCUUCCUUGCCCUUCUCUGGACCUGCUCCAGCACCUCAAUGUCUUUUUUGUGGUAAGGGGCCCAUAUAUGAGAAAACAGUGGAAUAAUUCAGCUGGGUGACAUAUAAUCUAAAUGAGGCUCUCCUCCACAUCGCAGGGUAAGAGAUACUUUCAGACAAAAGAAACUUAACCUCUCAUGGUAUUAUGAAGCUGGUGGUGUCUACAACCAUGAAACACACUAACAGCAAGUGCUGGGCUGUGUCUGUGUGCCUU
rnacentral:lncRNA from 1 species